rnacentral:rRNA from 1 species
AGUUGGUGGAGUGAUCUGUCUGGUUAAUUCCGUUAACGAACGAGACCUUAACCUGCUAAAUAGUUACGCUACCCUUCUACUCGUACCUUCUUCGGUUGUCGCUCUUCGGGGUGGCAGUCGGGUGGGUCGGAACGGGUAAGUGCUUAACUUCUUAGAGGGACUAUUCGUUUCCAGCGAAUGGAAGUUUGAGGCAAUAACAGGU